GGAGGUUUGGCAGAGUGGUCGAAUGCGGCGGUCUUGAAAACCGUUGAGGGUGAGAGCCCUCCGUGGGUUCGAAUCCCACAGCCUCCG
rnacentral:tRNA from 1 species